rnacentral:lncRNA from 1 species
UUUUAACUCCGAGAUUGCAACACAAUAAAAAUAAAAUAAAAUAAAAUAACAAAAACAACCAAAUAUAUUGUUAAUAUUAGAACAAUAUUAUAAUUUUUUUUAUAUCAACUAAAAAUAAUUGAAAUAAUGAAGAAAGAAAAAAAAACACUACACACUAACGCUAUCCCGAAUGAAUCCACAUAUAACUCACAAACAUCAAAAAUAUACAUAAGUUUAUAACAGAAAAGUAAAAUAAAAUAUAUAAAACUAUUGAACAGAUAGUAUAUACAUAUAUGCAUAAAACUUGACCGAAAAUUAUAAAACUUUGGAUAAAAAGUAAAAUAUUAUAUAUAAACUUAUGAAAUAACAGUAUAUACUUAUAAAUUUU